rnacentral:rRNA from 1 species
GAUGAACGCUGGCGGCGUGCCUAAUACAUGCAAGUCGAGCGAACGGACGAGAAGCUUGCUUCUCUGAUGUUAGCGGCGGACGGGUGAGUAACACGUGGAUAACCUACCUAUAAGACUGGGAUAACUUCGGGAAACCGGAGCUAAUACCGGAUAAUAUUUUGAACCGCAUGGUUCAAAAGUGAAAGACGGUCUUGCUGUCACUUAUAGAUGGAUCCGCGCUGCAUUAGCUAGUUGGUAAGGUAACGGCUUACCAAGGCAACGAUGCAUAGCCGACCUGAGAGGGUGAUCGGCCACACUGGAACUGAGACACGGUCCAGACUCCUACGGGAGGCAGCAGUAGGGAAUCUUCCGCAAUGGGCGAAAGCCUGACGGAGCAACGCCGCGGGAGUGAUGAAGGUCUUCGGAUCGUAAAACUCUGUUAUUAGGGAAGAACAUAUGUGUAAGUAACUGUGCACAUCUUGACGGUACCUAAUCAGAAAGCCACGGCUAACUCCGUG